GCCAACGACCAUACCACGCUGAAUACAUCGGUUCUCGUCCGAUCACCGAAAUUAAGCAGCGUCGGCGCGGUUAGU
rnacentral:rRNA from 1 species